CCCCUCCUUUGCCCUCAGGCUGCAGCCCUCUCCCUCAGGCCCCGGACACUCACCAGGUGCAGGACGAACGGAGCUCCGAGCAGCGCGAUCCAUACAUACAGGUGGAAGGUAUUGGAGAAGCCGCUCUGCUGGGGCUCCAGUUACAGCAAGAACACCAGCAAACAGAUGAGGCCAACGUGAACAGCAUCUCCACCACGAUAAAGCAACGCCAACUCCGAUGGAUAGAUCAUGUCAUUCGGAUGCCUAACUCACAUUUCCCAGAUUGUUGACUCCCAGUUGAAGGAGAGACAGCAAGCCCCAGGUGGGCAGAGGAAACUUCAAAGAUAACAUCAAAAUCAGCCUGAAUAAAUUCAAUAUUACAUCUAAAACCCAAAAAUACAUUGCACUCAAUAGAUAUACCUGGAAGAAAUAUGUUCAGGAGGGUGUUACGCUACGAGAGCACGGAGAACAAGUGGCAGAUGCGAAUGGAGAGACUGAACAACACAAAAACCCAACCCUUUACCCUUAGUACACCAGAAUAUAUGGAUCCCCUAUCAGCCUCUACAGCCACCUAAGGACCCACCAUUAGUCAACCCCUUAGCAGCGGUCCAUAGAUUCUUGACAAGUCAGGACAUCAAGGGCUAUGGGGAGAUGGCAGGAAAAUGGGUUGAGAGAUAUUAAAUUAGUCGUGAUGGAAUGGUGGAGCAGACACAAUAGGCUGAAUGGCCUAUUUUUGCUCCUGUCUUAUGGUCUUAGAAAACAUACUCAACUCGACUGAUCACGCUACUACAACAAGGGUGAUGUAAGGUACAAAGCAGACAAAUAACUUGGAGGCAGAAGUAAAGAGAUCAGUAGAACUAACAUUAAGGGCUGAAUUCAUGGUGGAGGACAAGGGUUGAACUUCAAAACAGAAUUAAAUCUACAUCAAAGAAUUUUGAGGCCCCAUUUCCUAGCCUGCUUUGUCGAUCCAUCUGUUGUUUCAUCUGGGUGCCAAGUCUCAAAAACUGUCAACAAAGUCUGAAUUCCACAUCAAAGGAAAUCCAGUCUAAUCUUGGCAUCAGGUGUUUAUCAUGCAUAGGACACACUUUCACUAUUGCUAUAGGAACUUUGGAGGCAUCAGGGAGCUCUAACCGAAAUGUAAAAGGUAAAAAAAAACACAUUAUAGGUAAGUGCAGAGGUAAUAGGGACAUAUUUCGUUGAGUGAGCCACAGUUCCAAAGGACUAAAUUUCAUAACACAAGAGAUUCUGUGAUUCUGGAAAUCUUGAGGAUCUUAGUAAGUCUUAGGCAUCUAUGAACUGUAAUGAACAGCCGACAUUUUAAACUAAGCUCCUUUAUCAGGACUGGAAAGGAUUGAAGAAGAAGGCAGAGUAAAAAGGUAUGGCUCCAGGGGUAGGCUACAAGCUGGCACAUGAUAGGUGAGAUCAGGUGAGGGGGAAAGUAGGUGUGUGGGGGAGGGUGAUGUAAGCAGGUGGAAAGGGUAAAGGGCUGAAGAAGAAAUCAAAUAGGACAGGACAGUGGACCAUGGAAAAAAGGGAAAGAGGAGGGGAAUUAAAGGGAGGUUAUGAGCAGGUGAGACGUAAAGGAGAGAGAGAGGAUAACCAGAAUAGGGAAUGGAAAAAGAGGGAAUAAUGGGGGGGGGGGGUGAAUUACUGGAAAUUAGGGAAAUCAAUUUUUAUGCCAUCAGCUCGGAGGUUACCCAGAUGGAAUAGGAGGUGUUGCUCCUCCAACCUGAGUUUGGCAUCAUCAUGGUAGAGGACAAAGCUUUUCAGUCCUGAUGAAGAGUCUUGGCCCAAAAUAUCAACUGUUUAUUCCCCCCAUAGAUGCAGCCUGACUUACAGUUUCUUUUUUUCCACCUUCUGCAUUGCCCCAUGUUCCCACCACUGAGUGAGUGGCUGCUUACAUAGUCAAUAUGAAAUAGGAGUGAUGAUGUCGUGCAGUUGCUGUUUCAGGAGCUCCAGAGUGCCUGAAGGGAAUAAAGUCAGAAAAUUUAAUCAGUAAUUUAUUUCUUGAGAACAUUGAGCAGAAUAAGCACAUUCAGUCCAUUGAGCCUGCUCUGCCAAUCCAUCAUGCCUGAGUUAUUAUCUCAACCCCCGUUUUUCUGCCUUCUCCCCAUAACUUUUGAUGGACUUUCUAAUCAAGAACUCAUCAACUGCCGCUUUAAUUAUAUCCAAUGAUUUGGCCUUCACAAUUAUCUGUGACAAUAAAUUCCUCAGGUUACCACUCUGGCAAAAUAAUUACCUACUCAUCUCCGUUCUAAAGGGAAAUCCUUUUCUGAGGUUGUGCUGUCUGAUCUUAGACUAAUGGAAACAUUCUCUCCAGCUAGGCUUUUCAGUAUUCAGAAGGUUUCAAUGAGAUCCCCCUUCAUUCUUCUAAACUGCAGCAAGUAGAUAUGUACACAUGGAUGUGAGAGUACACAUCCGAAUUCAGAUAAUUCUCAGCAUCAACCACAAAAUCUCAUCUCAGAAGCUUAUCAACGUAGAAAACUGACAGACACAUAUUGAUCCAUGAUGUUUCACCCACACUUACUAUUAUAAGACACUGGAGCACAAUUAGGCCAUUUGAUUCAUUAAGUCCGCUCAGCUAUUUAAUCAUGGUUAAUCCUUUUUUCACCUCAACCCCAAUCUCCUGCCAUCUCCCCAUAUCCCUUUAUGCUCUGAGUAACCAAGAAUCUGUCAACCUGCCUUAAAUAUACCCAAUGACUUGGCCUCCACAGUCACCUGUGACAACAAAUUCCACAGAUUCACCACUUCCUGGCUAAAGAAAUUCCUCCUCAUCUCCAUUCUAAAAGGAUGCCCCUCUAUUCUGAGACUAUGUCCUCUGGUCUUAGAAUCCUCCACCAUAGAAAACUUUCUCCUCACAUCCACUCUAUCGAGGCCUUUCAACAUUCAAUAGGUUUCAAUGAGAUUACCCCUCAUUCUUCUGAAUUGCAAUGAGUAGAGACCCAGGGCCACCAAACUCUUCUCAUACAAGACUUUCAAUCCUGGAAUCAUUUUUGUAAAUUUCUCUGAACCUGCUCCAAUGUCAAUUCAUCUUUUCGUAGGUAAGGGGUCCAAAAUUGCUCACAAUACUCCAAGUGAGGCUUACUUUAUAAAGCCUCAGCAUUAAAUCCUUGCUUUUAUAUUCUAGUCCUCUAGAAAUGAAUGGUAAUAUCACAUUUGCCUUCCUCACCACUGACUCAACCUACAAAUUAACCUUUAGUGAAUGCUGCAUGAGGAUUCCUUAGUCCCUCUGCACUUCAGAUUAUUGAAUCUCCUCUCCAAAUGGAAAUUAAUCUAUGCUUUUAUUUCUUCUAUUAAAGUCCAUGACCAUACAUUUCCUGACACUGUAUUCCAUCUGCCAUUUCUUUGCCCCUCCACCUAUCUUCGUAUUGUCAGCAAACUCGGCCCCAAAGCCAUCAAUUCCAUCAUCCCAAUCAUUGACAUACAGGUGUCCCCACUUUACGAAUGUUUGCUUUUCCCCAUAUAAAUUUGUGGUUCUUCACUUUACGCCAUUUUGGCUUAAGAAGGGUUUCAUAGGAAUGCUCUACCUUUGUAAAGGUGGCCGGGGGGGGGGGGGGGGGGGGGAAACACCCGUAUAACAUAAAAGGAAUCGGUUCCAACACAAGUCCACCAUUACUAUCAACUCUGAAUUGAUAGAGACCACUGGAACCCAAAUACAGCCCUUUACAGUCUGUUUAAGUGUUGUCAGAAGUGGUCUACAUGGAAGAGUUGCUGCCAAAAAGCUUUUUCUCCAAAGUGGAAACAAAGCCAAGAGGCUCACUUAUGUACAAACAUAUAAGGACUGGGGUGCUGAACAAUUGCAGCAAGUGCUCUGGACUGAUGAGUCAAAAUUUGAAAUUGUUGGCUCACACAGGAGGUAGUUUGUCCAUAGAAGAUCUGGAGAGCCCUACAUGGAUGAGUGUCAACAGCCAACACUGAAGCUCCAGGUUAGAGGCUGCAUUUCUGCAAAUGGAGUUUGUGAUCUCUCCAGAAUUAAUGGAAUCCUCAAUGCUGAGAAAUACAAGCAGAUCAUUUUCCAUCACAAAAUACCACCAGGGAGGCAUCUGAUCGGUCCCUAAUUGAAUGUGCAGCAGGACAAUGACCCCAAGCACAUGGCCAAGGUCAUAAAAAACUAUCAUCAACAAAAAGAACAAGGAGUUCAGGAACAGAUGGUAUGCCCUCCACAGAGCCCAGAUAUCAACAUAGAGGAUAUCUGGAAUUACCUGGAGAGGCAGAAGUAAGUGAGACAGCCAAAGUCUGCAAGAACUGUGACAGCUUCCCCAAGACACUUAGAACAACCUUAACAAUCAAUUUUUUUAUUAAACUGCACAACAGUGUACCUAAGAGAACUGAUGCAGUUUUAAAGGCAAAGGGUGCUCAGCAAAUAUUGAUUUGAUUUUGCUUUUUUCACUGUUUACUGGGUCUUUAUAGUAAAUCUUUUGAUACUCAGAAA